rnacentral:pre_miRNA from 1 species
CAAAUACUCCCUCUGUCCGGAAUUACUUGUCAUCAAAAUGGAUGUGUCUAGAACUAAAAUACAUCUAGAUACAUCCAUUUCAAUGACAAGUAUUUUCGGACGGAGGGAGUACAAG